rnacentral:rRNA from 1 species
AUUGAACGCUGGCGGCAUGCCUUACUCAUGCAAGUCGAACGGCAGCACGGGUGCUUGCACCUGGUGGCGAGUGGCGAACGGGUGAGUAAUACAUCGGAACGUACCUUAUCGUGGGGGAUAACGCAGCGAAAGCUGUGCUAAUACCGCAUACGCCCUGAGGGGGAAAGCGGGGGAUCGCAAGACCUCGCGCGAUUAGAGCGGCCGAUGCCUGAUUAGCUUGUUGGUGGGGUAAAAGCCCACCAAGGCGACGAUCAGUAGCUGGUCUGAGAGGACGAUCAGCCACACUGGGACUGAGACACGGCCCAGACUCCUACGGGAGGCAGCAGUGGGGAAUUUUGGACAAUGGGGGCAACCCUGAUCCAGCAAUGCCGCGUGAGUGAAGAAGGCCUUCGGGUUGUAAAGCUCUUUUAUCAGGGAAGAAACACCGGCUCUAACACAGUCCGGGAAUGACGGUACCUGAAGAAUAAGCACCGGCUAACUACGUGCCAGCAGCCGCCGAAA